rnacentral:rRNA from 1 species
AGCAGCCGCGGUAAUUCCAGCUCCAAUAGCGUAUAUUAAAGUUGUUGCAGUUAAAAAGCUCGUAGUUGAAUUUCGGGGUUAGUAGGCUGGUCGUGCCACAGGUAUGCACUGGUCUUACUGAUUCCUCCUUCCUGAUGAGCCGUAAUGCCAUUAAUUUGGUGUUGCGGGGAGUCUGGACUGUUACUUUGAAAAAUUAGAGUGUUUAAAGCAGGCUAACGCUUGAAUACAUUAGCAUGGAAUAACGAAAUAGGACGUUCGAUCCUAUUUUGUUGGUUUCUAGGAUUGACGUAAUGAUUAAUAGGGAUAGUUGGGGGCAUUAGUAUUCAAUUGUCAGAGGUGAAAUUCUUGGAUUUAUUGAAGACUAACUACUGCG